GUGGGGGUAGAAAGAAGCUGGAAGGUAUUAUGCACUAUUUCCUUGGCUUCCUAGAAGCUCCCGCUUAUUCCCUCCCACUCGGCCGGCAGAGUUCUACGACACAGUAAAGGAAACGCUGAAAACUUGAACCUGCUACUCUCCAGCUGCCUCGGCCUUCUAACUAGCUCACUUGUUUUCUUUCACUGCUGCUCCCUCUGAAUGUUUCUCUCUCUCUUUCUCUGGGCUGUGUGUAAGAGGAUCUUACUUUGUGUCCGUUGCCUUUUUCCGCGGUGCUGCAGACACACAUGAAGGAGAGGAUUGGAUUUGAGGAGAUACUGACGGGGGUGCACAGCUGCAACAGUCCCCUCCAUCUCCACACCAGGACUAAUGCCCCCCCCCCCCCCCCCCCUCUGUCUCUCUCUCCCUGUGUGUUUGACUCUCCCUCUGUCGCACUCUCUCUGCUUUCUGCCUCUCGGAGGGGUGGGGGGUGCCAUAUGGGAGCUCAGAAAAAUGGAAGUGGAUCGGAGAUAGACAAGAGAGGAAUCUGUCAUUCUCGGGCUCGGAUGUCGGGGAUCUAUGUGAGAGGCAAACUAAAAUCUGACCCCAGGCACCGAAACCCCCAGAGCAAGACACUUCCAUGAAGGGAGCCGUGGCAAUUGUCUGUGUUUCUCCGCGCUCCAAGGGUGAUAAGAGAGGAAGAGGAGAGAAAGAAAAGUUGGUGGUGGUGG